AAAGUAAGAAAAAGUGGCUAAUCGAAGAGGUGACAAUGCCAGAAUACUCUAUUGUUAAUUGUGUAUAAAAUGCUUCGCAAAGCCAAAAGAAUGUCAUGUCUUCUCUCCCAAACAUUACUUCCUUCUUCAGCUGCUAAUUCCGUCUGUAAUUUCAAGCCUACUAUCGCUCCACAUCAUCUUCUUCUUCCGAGGUUGUUGGGUUUAAGACCCAAGAUUGGAUUUUUGGGUUCAUUGAGAGGAAUGGCAACGAAAAUGGAUAUCAUUCAGCAAAACCCUGAGGCCAUUUCGUAUCUAAACCAGAAAGAAGCUGCUCAAAUUGAUGAGAUACUUAUGGGUCCUCUUGGUUUCAGUGUUGAUCAACUUAUGGAACUGGCUGGCUUGAGUGUUGCUGCUGCAAUUGCUGAGGUCUACAGACCAAGUGAGUACAGUCGUGUUCUUACUAUUUGCGGUCCUGGUAAUAAUGGCGGUGAUGGUCUUGUAGCUGCUCGUCAUCUAUAUCACUUUGGCUAUAAACCAUUCAUAUGUUACCCUAAGCGUACUGCUAAGCCUCUUUAUGAUGGCUUGGUAACUCAGCUUGAGUCGCUGUCAGUUCCUUUCUUGUCAUUGGAAGAUUUGCCAAAGGACUUGUCUGACAGCUUUGACAUUCUAGUGGAUGCAAUGUUCGGAUUCUCGUUCCAUGGUAGCCCAAGGCCACCUUUUGAUGACUUAAUCCAGAGACUGGUGGCACUAAAGCUUAAUGGCGAUACACAUCAGAAAUCACCUGCCAUCAUCUCUAUAGAUAUUCCAUCUGGAU
rnacentral:misc_RNA from 1 species